CGCUGGUUUGAGGCCACAGUUCCAACUUGUAACGUCCGUGAAAAACAUAUUUUGCUGCCGUCAAACUGUCAGCUCCACUGCGGCUGCCGAGUGUGUGUGCGACAGUCCAAAGGGGGCAAUGUCCUUUUCUAGGCCGCCACUGUAGGUUUAACACACGUGAUGGUCCGCGUGGUCGCCGGUUGACCUAAUCGUUCUCUUGUCCGCUCGAGCGUUCGUCGUCAUAGGCGCUGGUUUGAGGCCCCAGUUCCUACCUGUAACGUCCGUGAAAAACAUAUUUUGCUGCCGUUCAAUUGUCAGCUCCACUGCGGCUGCCGAGUGCGUGUGCGACAGUCCAAAUGGGGCGAUGUCCUUUUCUAGGCCGCCACGGUAGGUUUAACACACGUGAUGGUCCACGUGGUCGCCGGUUGACCUAAUCGUUCUCUUGUCCGCUCGAGCGUUCGUCGUUAUAGGCGCUGGUUUGAGGCCACA
rnacentral:lncRNA from 1 species